rnacentral:rRNA from 1 species
GGGUUGUGAGGUUAAGCGACUAAGCGUACACGGUGGAUGCCCUGGCAGUCAGAGGCGAUGAAGGACGUGCUAAUCUGCGAAAAGCGUCGGUAAGGUGAUAUGAACCGUUAUAACCGGCGAUGUCCGAAUGGGGAAACCCAGUGCAAUUCGUUGCACUAUCGUUAACUGAAUACAUAGGUUAACGAGGCGAACCGGGGGAACUGAAACAUCUAAGU